AUACGUAGGGUGCAAGCGUUAAUCGGAAUUACUGGGCGUAAAGCGUGCGCAGGCGGUUUUGUAAGACAGAGGUGAAACCCCCGGGCUCAAACUGGGAACUGCCUUUGUGACUGCAAGGCUAGAGUACGGCAGAGGGGGAUGGAAUUCCGCGUGUAGCAGUGACAUGCGUAGAUAUGUGGUGGAACACCGAUGGCGAAGGCAAUUCCCUGGGCCUGUACAGGCGCUCAUGCACGAAAGCGUGGGGAACAAACAGGGUUAUAUACGCUGGUAGGCCACGCCCUAAACGAUGUCAACUGGUUGUUUGGUCUGCAUUGACUCAGUAACUAAGCUAACGCGUGAAGUUGACCGCCUGGGGAGUACGGCCGCAAGGUUGAAACUCAAACGAAUUGACGGGG
rnacentral:rRNA from 1 species